UUCUCUCAUCAAUGUACAUGUCAGGACUGCCAGUGUAGGCCUCUGCAUAGUCACUGACUGGAGACGCCACCUAGAGAAUUUCCUGCAACUCCAGCAACUGAAAGUCAAAUCUUUUGCCUACACAACAGAAUACCAAUCACCAAAAGCCACAGUCACUUAAAAUCACCAAAGCAGUACCAAUUGACCCUGGAGUAUCCAUGCAUAAUUGAUGUGAGGUAUAGGAGAACGUAGAAAGAGAACAGAUGCAGGGCUCACCACCGGGCUGCAGUCCUGGGGGAUAAGGCCUGCUUCUGAGGGGCUUCUCCAUGUCCUCAUCCUUCCCUCCAAUUCCACCCACUCCCU